rnacentral:rRNA from 1 species
UACGAAGGGGGCUAGCGUUGUUCGGAAUCACUGGGCGUAAAGCGCACGUAGGCGGCUUUCUAAGUCGGGGGUGAAAUCCUGGAGCUCAACUCCAGAACUGCCUUCGAUACUGGAGAGCUCGAGUCCGGGAGAGGUGAGUGGAACUGCGAGUGUAGAGGUGAAAUUCGUAGAUAUUCGCAAGAACACCAGUGGCGAAGGCGGCUCACUGGCCCGGUACUGACGCUGAGGUGCGAAAGCGUGGGGAGCAAACAGG